rnacentral:rRNA from 1 species
UACGGGGGGAGCAAGCGUUGUUCGGAUUUACUGGGCGUAAAGGGCGCGUAGGCGGUCAGCACAAGUCAGUUGUGAAAUCUCCGGGCUCAACUUGGGAACUGCGUCUGAUACUGGAUGGCUUGAAUUCGGGAGAGGGAUGCAGAAUUCCAGGUGUAGAGGUGAAAUGCGUAGAUAUCUGGAGGAAUACCGGUGGCGAAGGCGGCAUCCUGGACAGAUAUUGACACUGAUGAGCGAAAGCUAGGGGAGCAAACGGG